rnacentral:rRNA from 1 species
UACGUAGGGGGCUAGCGUUGUCCGGAAUCAUUGGGCGUAAAGAGCGUGUAGGCGGUCCGGUAAGUCCGCUGUGAAAGUCGGGGGCUCAACCCUCGAAUGCCGGUGGAUACUGUCGGGCUAGAGUGCGGAAGAGGCGAGUGGAAUUCCACGUGUAGCAGUGAAAUGCGUAGAUAUUGGGAAGAACACCGAUGGCGAAGGCAGCCAUCUGGACCGACACUGACGCUGAGGCGCGAAAGCGUGGGGAGCAAACAGG